rnacentral:rRNA from 1 species
CAGUCGCCGCGGUAAUACGGAGGGAGCUAGCGUUAUUCGGAAUUACUGGGCGUAAAGCGCACGUAGGCGGCUUUGUAAGUAAGAGGUGAAAGCCCAGAGCUCAACUCUGGAAUUGCCUUUUAGACUGCAUCGCUUGAAUCAUGGAGAGGUCAGUGGAAUUCCGAGUGUAGAGGUGAAAUUCGUAGAUAUUCGGAAGAACACCAGUGGCGAAGGCGGCUGACUGGACAUGUAUUGACGCUGAGGUGCGAAAGCGUGGGGAGCAAACAGGAUUAGAUACCCCAGUAGUCCCUGUCUCUUAUAC